AUUGAACGCUGGCGGCAGGCUUAACACAUGCAAGUCGAGCGGGGGAAGGUAGCUUGCUACCGGACCUAGCGGCGGACGGGUGAGUAGUGCUUAGGAAUCUGCCUAUUAGUGGGGGACAACAUCUCGAAAGGGAUGCUAAUACCGCAUACGUCCUACGGGAGAAAGCAGGGGAUCUUCGGAACUUGCGCUAAUAGAUGAGCCUAAGUCGGAUUAGCUAGUUGGUGGGGUAAAGGCCUACCAAGGCGACGAUCUGUAGCGGGUCUGAGAGGAUGAUCCGCCACACUGGGACUGAGACACGGCCCAGACUCCUACGGGAGGCAGCAGUGGGGAAUAUUGGACAAUGGGGGGGACCCUGAUCCAGCCAUGCCGCGUGUGUGAAGAAGGCCUUAUGGUUGUAAAGCACUUUAAGCGAGGAGGAGGCUACUCUAGUUAAUACCUAGGGAUAGUGGACGUUACUCGCAGAAUAAGCACCGGCUAACUCUGUGCCAGCCGCCGCCGUAA
rnacentral:rRNA from 1 species